rnacentral:lncRNA from 1 species
UUUUAGUUAAAUAUUUGAAGUAUAGACAUAGAUAGAAUUAAUUAAUUAUAAAUAUAGAUAAAUUUCAACAAAAUUUAUAGAUGCCAUUAAUAUGAUAUGUGUGUGUUGAUCCAACCUGAGGUCUAAUUAAAGCUUUCCAUGUCAGAGUUUACGUUAGAAUUUAGAACACCCUCUAUAUUUUUGCUAUAUUAGACAUACUUAAAUUUUAAACCCCAUAAGAGAAUAUGCAUAUACAUAUACAUAUAGAUAUACAUACCGUAUCGGUUCCAGCAGGGCCUGGUGAAGAAGCGCCGAGGCUGGGAGUAGGGGCCUCAUUUGAUGGAGACGGUGGGCUGGAGGCCGAAGGUGAUAGUGCUGGAGACUUAGCUUUGGUCUUGCUAGGGGCCGGAGCUGGAACCGUGGCAGGAGGAGAAGCCAAAGGAGCUGGUGGUGGGGUAGCUGGAGGAGGAGUAGCAGGAGGGGGAGAAGCAGGUGGUGGGGUAGCCGGAGGUGGAGAAGCCGGUGGGGGAGUUGCGGGAGGUGGAGUAGCCGGGGGAGGAGAAGCUGGUGGUGGGGAGCUAACGGGCGGGGGAGUCGCUGGAGGAGGAGUGGAAACUGGUGGUGGUGAUGAAGUAGGAGGAGGAGAGGAAGCUGGUGGCGGAGAAGUAGUUGUGGGUGUUGGAGGUGGUUGAGUAGUAGGUGGAGGUGUGGAAGCGGGUGGAGUCGGCGGCGCCGGCGUGGAUGUCGGAGGAUUACUAGGAGUAGGAGGAGCUUGGCCUAAAACGCCAGCUACAGCAAUGCAAAACAAAGCUGAUAAGAACAAAAACUUAUUAUUAAGCAUCAUAUUGGAAACAAUGGUGACCCUUUAAUCCUGCACACCCUCUCCGCUUAAACUACGCCCAGCCGUGCAAGCAAAUGAGGGAGAAGAAGAGGCAAGUAUGAGAAAUGAAAAGAUGGUGAUAUUUAUAUAUAGGAUAUGGAAAUUUCCAUAUCAUAUUUCAAUUUAAAAUCCCCAAAACAAAUACCAGCAUUUUUAUUUUAUUACUAAUGGGAAAAUUGCAUUACUAAUCAUAUACAAUAUUCUAUAUUAAUUUAGUGUAAUUUAAUUCUUUCAUUUUUUUAUAAUGUUAUUAAUAGGUCCAAAAUCAAUAUCUCCGAUCGUUAGUUGCUGUCAUUAAAGUGAUGAUACGAAAUUAUUUUUUUUACUAUUAUUCCAUCAUACAAUCAGAGAUAUAGAAAUCAAUCAAUUUUGUUAAACAAAUAAUAAAUUUCAAUCUGAGUCAAAUGCUUAAAGUUGUUAAAAAAAAUUCACGUCAUCACUUUAACAACAUCAACUAAUAGCGUUAUCAAUUUGUACUUUGUAGCUACCAAUAACAUUAUAAAAAUAAAGGGUCAAAUUAUAUAGAAGUAAAGGAUUAAAUCUCUAAUUUCAAUUUAGUAAAGGGACUAAAAUGGAAUUAAACCUAUUAGUGGGGGUCGGAGUUUUUUCCUCGUUUGGUGAGGUAAAAAAAAAAAAAAACCCUAGUGGGGCAUAGUUAUAAUGUCACUUUGAUGAUUAUAAAUGAUGCGUUAGUUAGUCAUACUUUAGGUAAAAAACUGUGAGGUGGGAUUAGUGUAGAUUGAAAAUUUUUAGUGAAGGGGUUAAUUUAUACCUUCAAAAUUUUGCAAUAUUUGGUAGUUCCAUGAAAUAUUCCCCGCUAUUUAUCAACUUUUCAAUCACUCAAAUAGGUUUUAAUUUAGUUUUGUUGUGAAAUUUCUAAUUCAAGCAUACAAUGAGUAGAUUUUAUUAUGGGUCGGGUCGGGUUAUUAUAAAAUUUUAGGUGUAACGUCCCGAAUUUUUGGGCCUAGAAGUUAAAAGAUUUAAGCAUAGGGGCAGUAAGGAGGCCACACAUAAGUGAUUAGUUGUGCACUAUAGUGAUAAGAAUGGGCUUAUUAGUCUAGUGGUUAAAUGGAGUGUUAAUUAAGUUCAAGGUUUUUGGUUUGAGUCACUAUGUGUACAUUUUGGGAGUCUUUUUAUUUUGUUUUUUUUUAGUUAGUGAUAAUAAUUAAUUAUUUUAUUUUAUUUUUAUUAUUUUUCUUUUCUUUUCCACGUUAGUUCUCUCUACUUCUUGGUUUUUUUUUCUUUUUGUUCUUUUUCCUUGGACUUUCAAUUUGUGCAUUCUCUAUGUUUUUGAAUCGUUUGCUUACAGAUUUCGAAUUGUCGCACCUCUAUCGUCUUCUUCGUCGUUCAAUCAGGUGAGGGAUUCAAACUUUAACUACAUUGUUUAAUUUUGCAAAGUUUACGUGCGGCUUUUCUUGAAUAUGUGAUAACCCGAAGGUUUUUGGGUUUUGAUCGUUGGAAGUGAGGAAAAUACGUUAUAUUGUGAUAUGUUCUUGAUGUGGUUAAGGUUAGGGACAGUUUGGGUGGCUAAAACGGUGUUUUCGGGGCUAAUUUGGGGUGGUUUCAUGACCUCUCCGGCAGCUACACGGGCGUGUGCCGUGGUAGACAGUCAUAUGGAUUUGGGAACUAGGGUUUCCAGGCCAAAUUGGAUGCCACACGGCCGUGUGGCCGAUUUGGGGAUUUUGUCGAAAUUCACACGGCUGUGUCCCCUAGGCACAUGGGCAUGUGGGUUUGGAAUUAGGGUUUCAGAGAUUUGAAGUCACACAGCCUGGCCAUACGGCUGUGUGGCUGAUUUUGGGAUUUAGGGAUCCCACACGAGUGUGUGUUUCGUAACACACAACCAUGUCUAGUUGGCACACGGGCAUGUGAGACCCUCACAUAGCCGUGUCUGCCCUGCACCUUAUUUUAGCGAAAUUGGACAGUGAGUUACACAGCCUGUUCACACAGUCGUGUCUCUGCUUCGCACGGGCGUGUGCCUAUGUCACAUGGCCGUGUGCUAUCCUUCACAAGGGCGUUUGAAGCCUCACACGAUCUGGAUUGCUCUACACGGCUGAAGCAUACGGGUGUGUAGCCCUAUCUCGCCAAAUAAUGAUUUUAGGUCAAAUUUAAGUGCAAUCGUGACUCUAUGUAUUCCAACCCUCGACUGAGCUCUAGUGAGGGUAUUUACGACGCUGAUCUGAGUUUGGAUAAUGUGUUAAUUGUGAUUGGUUAUGUGACAUGUUUGAUUCUGAACCCGGGUUAGCUGGGUGAGUGUGUAUGCAACUAGUUCUGUCUGACUGUUUGAAUACGUGUCAUUGAUAUGCGAGCUUAUUUUGCAAUUGCUACUGAAUUCAAGUUACGAGUAUACUUAAGACUAAUUUUGUAACUAACUGAUUGGAUGUGAGCGUCUACUUCUGAAUAAUUGUUUGAGACUAGUAUUCUGAUUGUGUACAUCUGACUGCAUACAUACAUACAUAUGCAUAAACUAUUUUGGGCGGGAUUUUUGAAGAGAAGGUGUUGUAGGCCAAUUUUGGGCCCGUUUACACUUUAGGCCGAACAUACAUCAAACCCAUUUACAAUUAAACCCCAGCAUAACCCACAACCCAAACCCAACAAAUAAACCCAAAACCAAACCCAAAUUUAACCCAAUUCAAAUCCCAUAGACCCAAACCCACAUGUAAGCCCAAGUUGUUAGACCCAACUAGCUUGAUUUAGGGUUUCAAAAAAACUGAAACCCUAACCUACCCCCAGCGCCGCCAACGUCACAUCGCCCAUGCCAGUCCACUUGCACUACCUUUGCUCCACUGUUCAACCACCACCUGCAAAACAAAAGAGCACGCAACAGCAGCGCAAAAAUAGGAAAUAGACAGUGUAUGAACAACAAAAUCGGCUAUAAAGCCGAAUGGAAACCAAUGUAAUAGAAAAUAUUUUCGGUUAUUUUCUUCAUCAAUACAAAAAAAUAGAUUUAAACAUAUACAAGCAAUAAUUCGGGGAAAAUCAAAACACUAGAAUAACACCAAUUGGGCAACCAAAACAUCAAUAUCAAAAGCCUAAGGUGAUUUAAAUCUUUUUAUUUUUAUUUAUUUUUGAAUCAUACAUACCUAUGUAUUUUCAUAAAUAGUAUAAUAAAAAGGAAAAUAAAAGAAUAAAAAAAAGAUAGGAAAUUUUUACCUUUUCCGGCCACCGUGCGACGGUGGCACACGGCGGUCCGGCAACCAGACGUGGACGGCGACCGGCCUUGUGGCCGGAAUUCGCCUCUCCUUCUCCCCUCUCUCUUUUUUUUCUUUGCUAUGCAGAAAAUGAAUUUUUUUUGAAGAUUUUGGCCUUUUUAUAGCUUCCUAAAACGACGUCGUUUUGGGGGUUGCCCUUUAACCUCAAAACGACGUCGUUUUGCCCUGGAUCAGGUCGACCCGACCCUACCCACUCAGGAUCUGAGUGUUUUUGCUCUUAGGGGCUAAUUGCGCACGCGGUCCUUCCGCUUUUUCUAUGUUUUUCAAUCAGGUUUUUUAUGUAUUUUAAUUUGGCCCUAUAAUUAGUUGCGCUUUCCAAUUUGGUCCUCAAUGCUAUUGCGCAUUUUGGGUGGAGAGGCUUAUUUCGUUUUAAGUCCCUCCACUAUUUGUGCGCGUUGAAAUAGGUCCCCUUCCCUUCUUUUUAUUUCAGUUUUUGCCCCAAGCCUUUUAUUUUUAAUUCGAUUCGAUCCUUUUUUUAAUUACUUUAUUAUUAAAAUUAAUUAUUUUAGUAUUAUUGUUAUUAGCACUAUUCAUGUACAUAUAUAUUAUCAUUAUUGUUACUAUUACUAUUAUUAAUCUUCAUAUUAUUACUAUUAUUUCUUUAUUUUUAUAUUAUAUUAUAUUAUAUUAUUAGUUUUUACUAUUAUUAGUAUUAGUUUUAGCUUCAAUUAAUAUUUUUAACAUGCAUAUUUAUAUACUUUUAUGUAACAUUAUUAAUAAUUAUUUUUUAAAAUAUUAUUAUUAUUUUUUAAUACAUGCAUAUAUAUUAUGUGUAUAUUCUUUUAAUAGACAUUAUGUAUAUAUAAUUUUAUAUAUUAUUUUUAACUUUACAUUAUGUAUAUAUUGUUAAUAUCAUAUUAUUCAUAUAUUCUAUUAUAUUAUAUAACUAUAUUAUGUAUGUAUUUUUAACACUAUAUUACGUACAUACUUUCAAUAUCAUUAUUAUUAUGUAUAUAUAUUUUUAAUAUAUAUAUGUGUAUAUUUAUGUAGUAUUAUUAAUAGUUGUUUUUAAUAUUAUGAUUAUUUCUAGUAUAUAUAUAUUAUGUAUAUACUUCUAAUACUAUAUAUUGUAUAUUUCUAAUACCAUUAUUAUUUAUAUGUGUAUAUGUGUAUGUAUUUAUGUAUCGUAUUAUAGUUGUUGUUUUUUUUGUAUCAUUAUUGUUGCUAAUAUAUAUAUAUCAUGUAUAUAUGAUUUUUUUUAUAUAUAUUAUGUAUAUAUCUUUAAUAUUAUAUUAUUUAUAUAUUUAUGCUUACAUAUUAUCUUACGUAUAUAUUUUUAAUAACUAUAUUAUGUAUAUACUAUUACUAUAUAUCUAUUUAUGUUGCAUUAUCAAUGGUUGUUUUUACUAUUAUUAUUAUUCUUAAUAUAUAUAUUAUGUAUACAUUUUUAAAUACUAUAUUAUAUACAUAUAUUUUUAAUACCAUAUAUGUACAUAUCAUUAUUAUAUCUAUUUUUACCCCUAUUACAUUUGUUAUUAAUAUUAGUAUAUAUUUUAUUAUACGUGUAUAUAUAUACUUUUUAAUAUAGUAUUAUUUUUAUAUAUCAUUAUAUUUAUUAUUAUACUUAUUAUUUUCGCUAUUGUUACUUAUUAUUUUAUUUUAAUAUUAUUGUGUAUUAUUUGGUAUACAUAUAUCUUUUUGUACAUAUUGUUAUUUUUUAUUAUACGUAUAUUAGUUUAUUAUGGUAUUAAUACAUUUUUACCUUUUUCUUUUAUUGUAAAUAUUAUUUAUUAUUACUCUAAUAUCCUAAUAUUAUAUUAUAAUACUUUUUAUUAAUCAUCUCAUUAUUUUGCAUCGUUUAUUUACUUAUGAAUUUUUGUUAACAUCAUCAGUUUUUUUUUAUCAUUAUUUUAGAAACAUUUUUAUUUUAAUAAAUAAUGCAACGUACCGAUUUUAACAUUAAGUUUGUGAUUUCAUCGCUAUGUUGGGUGAAUCACGUUGGCUCGUGUUAAAAACGGGACAUCCUUCAAAAAAACCAAAAACUUGAAAUUUCUCGUGUCUUGGUCGGAUCAUGAUUAAAUAUUAAAUUAAACUUGUAUUUUUGAAAAUUAAGACAACGCGUAAUUAACAAGAUACUAAUUUUGGGCGUCGUGAGGGUGCUAAUACCUUCCUCGCGUGUAACCGACUCCCGAACUCUAUUUUCCUCUGGAUUUUCACGUAGACCCAAAUUCGGCCUUCAUUUUUGUUCAAGAAUAAAUUUUCUUUUCUAAAAAGAAGAUUUAUUAGGUGUCUGAUCACACCUAGAAAAAAGAUCGGUGGCGACUCCUUUUCUUUUUAAAACCGAAAUUCCAUUUUCAAAUAAUCGCCUCAACUAGCGACCGGAAAGUGAAAUUUUUACGUUGCUACAGAAGGAAGAUUGACUGAACUGAACUGAUAGCUAAUAUGUUGCCCCUAAUACCCAGAGGGUCAUGGGCGGUCCCAAUACCCUGAGGAUCGUGGUUAAUUUGACUGUACUGCGGACUAUCGCACUGUACUGUACAGAACAUACAUCAGCACCGCUGCUAUCAUUGACUAAACUGGCAAUUUUACUGCAACCUAACGAUAUAGCGGUCUACCGCAUUGCAUUGUACCGCAUGUACGUUAGCUACGCUACGUACUAUUAUCUGAUCUGGCAGUUCAUACUGCAUGUCUGUACCGCGGUUCACCGCAUUGCACAGUACAACCUAUACGCUGGCUUUCCUACGUAAUUUACGUGACUAGCAGUUUAUCUGCAUACUGUUAGCCCAAAUUCCCAGAGGGUCGAUGGCAAUCCCAAUACCCUGAGGGUCAUGGACAAUGCUGAUGAUCAUCGUUGUCGGGUAACCCGGGAUGACAUCAUAUGGGGUGUAGGGUUGGAUGGGCUUUGCGAGGUCCUGUAUGGAGUGUUUGGUGGGACAAGCUUAAAGCUUUUAUGAGAAGUGAUGGGGGACGGAGAGGUGUGUUGGCUGGAUAGGUGGAUAUUUUUAGAACUCAUUUGUACUCAUAUGUAUCUGAUUGAUCUGUUUAACUGAAUUGGAACUUGUGAAUGGUUGAGAAUUAUUGCUACUGUGACUGAAUGUGAUACUGUUCGAUUGAGAGGCACUUGUGCCUAUGUGAAUUUUGUAGAUUCUGAUUGCGACUGUCUGACUGGAUUCUUACUGUGACUGAUUAAGAUUUGUUGCUACUCUGUCUGAGUGGUACUUGUGGCUGAGUGUAUCUAACUGAUUGAGUUAAAACUAGUGGCAGAAUAGCACUAUGUUUGUGUAGCUGAGUGUAAUUUUUAAUAUGCAUUAACAAAUAUCUGUCUGUCGGUACGUCCGUUUCGAACGUACCCUUUGGUUCUGAAUAGCUCUGUAAGUAUGUUUUAUUUCUGAACUGCUUUUAGUUCCCUGUUUCUGUCUCUGUAGUUUAACUGGUUUGAUCUCAAACUGAGCUCGAGUAGCUCACCCCCUCUUUCGUUUCCCUUUUCAGGUACAAUUCUGGAUUAUGUUGAUGGACUUGGCACGCGAAGGUCUCAGACAGUCUCGCAAACAAAUAAAUUAUCAGUUUUGUUUUCCGUUACGAUUUUGUUAUUUGGUUAACUUUGAACUGUAAGGCUUUAUAAUACUGUGGUACAGUUUCCAUUUUAGAUUUUCAUGCAUACGUUUAUUUUGGGUUUUAUAUUGAGUCUUACUGUAAAUUUUAUUGACUGAUUAUUAAAUGGUUUUAAACACUUUUGGUUCACUGAGAUGAGUUAUUUUGUAAAAUUUUCCUACGAUCACUUCGGUGAUCAAUGUAGCAUUCCGAAUUCGGUCUAGACUUUUAGGCCGAGUUUGAGGUGUUACAUUAGGUUUAUUUUUUAGGUUCUAAUUUGACUCGAAAAAUAGGUCUAAAAUUUUAACUAAACCCAGUUUAGAUAAAAAUAUUAAACCCAAGUCCAAACGUAUUAAACUUUUUAUAUUAUUAUUUAUAAAAAAACAAAUUUAAAAAAUAUAAUACAUCAAAUACACUAAAAAUAUUAAAAUAGAUGUUUCCUAAUAAAUUGAAAAUACAUUAAAAAAGUUUUUAUACUUAACAAGCAAAUGCCUUUAAAAUAGUAGCAAAAUUAACAAGCCCAUGAUUAGGUCUAAUGAUGAGUUCUUUUGUUAGUAAUGUUUAUUUUGGUAUUUGAGUUUUUUCUGUCUUAAUUUGGUACUUAAUUUUGACUUUAAUUUUUUUCCAAUUAAGCACUUAAGUUUGGCUUCAAUGUUCAAUUUGGUACCUAAUUUUUUUUGUCCAAAUUAAUUACCUAUAUAUUUUUUACCAAAGCAUGUGUGUCAAACAUUUAUUGGAUCAUAUGAUGACAUUUGGCUUAGGUAUCAAAUUGAAUAUCAAAUUCAAACCUAAGUACUAAAUUGAAACAAAAAACACAAAUACUAACUUAAGUAUUAAAGCUAAACUCAAGUAUCAAAUUGUAUAUUAAUCAUUGGUAAACAAAAUUUCAAGGAUUAGCAUCUACUAAGCUUUCAUUUUCCCUUUUGCAUGUUACAAUUGAUAUUUGUUUAACGCAUAAACUUGGUAUCUUUUUUCCCGUAAUGAUCCAUUUUCAACAAUUUUUGUACACCUAUAUUAAAAUCUGAAAUAAUUUGGUUAUCUUCAACAUACAUAAAGCUGUUAUAUUAAAGUUUAUUUAUAGUUGAGAUUUUUAAAGGAUUUUUAUAAGAUAUUUUUUACACAUUCUUUCCAUGACAUUAAGGAGUAGGGAAGAAAACGUGGUAGUGUUAAAAGGAUCAGUUCAUCUAAACAAGCGGAAAGUCAAAAUAAGAAACAAAUUAAGGAGGAGUAGGGGACUCACACAUCCAUAACAUAUGCAUAUGUUAAUAUUAAAAAUUUACACAACGCAAUUGUAAAUGGUGAGACUUGGACUUCGAUACUUAAAGACCCAAGAUAUCGCCUUAACCAAUAAUGUCAACAAGAUCUCAUUAACUUUUUAGGAAUUUUCUUAACUUCACAUAUAGGGAUUAAAAAAUUACGAUAUAACUCAAUAUAAUAUUAAAGAGUAAAAGUUAAUCAAAAUUUACAUAUAUCACUCAUUUAAUCAUAUGUGUACAGAUAAAAGGAAGCCACUCAUCCUCUUGCCAACCCUACGUGUAACAUAAUUCACUAUAAAUUCCACCUACAUAUACAUACAUACAUAAAUAUAAAAGAGAAUUUCAUGGUCUUGGACUAGAUUGGCUACAAAAUUUGACAAACGGCAUGUGUAGGAGGAUUAAAUUCGAUGAAUUGCAUGAGAGUUUCUCCUUUUUGAUAAUUUAGUACAUGAGAGAAUAAUGAUGAUUGUGGGGGGGGGGGGGUGCUCCAUCGAAAUAGCUGGAAUUUAUUUAUUUUAGUGAACUGGCAAAUGUAAUUUGUACGCCAAGUUAUAAGGUGAAAAAGGGAGAAAUCAUAUAGAUUUGGUUGGUAAUGGUAUGUUGAUGUUGGAACACCUGCGGUGCACCGCCACAAUUAGUAGGCCCCUAGCCCCGCUGUCACCCCAUCAUAUGUGCUUUUGGAUGGAUCCAACAUUUUCGUGUUCUUUCAUUCUUCAACAUCAUCAUUAUUAAUUAGUUACUCUUCAAUUUCUAUAUGUAAUUUGCUUUCUUUUCAUUCAUAGGUUUUCUGUUUUCUGUCUUUGAUUUUGUCUUGUGCACAACUGAUGUCCUCCAUUUUUUUCCCCUUUUGUAGAAUUGGGUUUGUCACUUUAAUAGUGCCCGAAAUUAUUUUAUGGAUUUUUUUCAUCAUAUCAUUUAUAAUCUAUUUUUAGUUAUUUAAUGAUAUUUUAGUAAUUUUUUUAUGUUAUUGACACAUAAUUUUACUAAUUUUUUUACCCAGAACCCUCAAUCUUGAGUUUAGAAUCUUGAACCCCGAACCUUGAACCCUAAACUCAAACAUUAAACUCCAAACCUAAACCUUAAAUCUUGAAACCCUCAAGGUUUAGGUUUGAGGUUUAAGUUCAAAUUCAAGUUUGUAGUUCAGGGUUCGAGGUUUGAAAUUUAAGGUUCGGGUUCAGGGUCAGAGUUCAACAUUCAGGAUUCUAGGUUUGGGGUUUAAGAUAAAAAAAAAUUACCAAAAUUAUAUGUCAAUGACAUGAAAAAAAAAUUACUGAAAUGUCAUUAAAUAAUUAGAAAGGGACCAUGGAUGAUGUGGUGGGAAUGGUCCAAAAAUAAUUUCUCAUUUGUAUGGGAUAUUAUUCAUUAUCUAUUAUAAUUUGAUAUCUCUAUUUUUAUAAUAUUAUUAGGGGAAAGGAUUGUAUGAAACAGUGACGCCAUGUCAUCUGUAUCCCUUUCCAAUAAUUUUAUGCCAUAUCAUUACUUUUAUCCUCAAUUUCAGGAUUUUAUCCUGAAAAAAAUCAAAUCCAAAUUAAAAUCCUGAAAUUCAGGAUAAGAAUAUUGAUGUGGCAUAAAACUAUUGGAAAGGGAUACAGAUGACGUGGCGUCACUGUUUCAUACAAUCCUUUCUCUGUCCAAAUUUAUAACAAUGUUGAUUGCUUCACUAAAAUGAGAAGGUCCAAAAGAGUUAGAAGAUGUUAUUGAGAUUAAUAAAGGAGUAAUUUAUUUCGAGAUAGAUUAAUAUAAUUUAUUUGUGUUUUUUAUUUAAAAAAAAAAGUAAAAGGACGUAGUAAAGGAAUUUUCAUGCAUCAAUAAUUUAUUAUUUAAACUAUGAAAUUUCAAAAAAGAAGAAAUUCAUGUUGAAAUUGAUACUAUCAAGCAAUUUAAAAGUGUAAAAAUUUCAGUAUCAGCUGGAUAUUUAAUGUCAAAUAAACUAAAGAAAUGAGAAACACAAGCCAAUUGUCCACAAUGAUUAACUUGUUCCUAAAAAGAAAGUUGUACAUAGACUUUGCUUAUAAAUCAAUCCAAUUUUUUUUUAUAUAAAAGGAAACAUAUUACAUACUUAUAUUGAGUUAUUUGUACCACAACCCACUUAAAUUAUGAUUUUAAUUUUCGAUUGAGUCUUAGUUCAAUUGAUAUUGGCAUUAUUAUCUGUGGAGGAGUGGAUUCAAGUGCGCUGAAACGCAUUAUCCUUCUAUUUAAAUGUUGGGAAGGAACUAUAGAUUCGAAAGCAGAUAUGAUAAGAACCUAUAAUAAAAUUAAUGUAAUGCCUCCUUUUUCCUUUAAAUCCUACUUAAAACACACUUACUUAUUAUUUGCUAAAAUAUUGACAAAUCUAUAAUUUGAAUUCGAACAUUUAUAAUUCAAUCUUGGUCCCUUUAAUACAAAAAAUGUUGGCUUCACCCUUGAUCAAUUUAGUCAUCAAGUUUUUUUUUUUUAACAUAAAUUUCAAUAUAGAUUCUUAUCAUAUUAGCUCUUUUUGAUACAAUGCUUAUAACUAUCCAUAGCCCUUCCCCAAUCAUUAAAUAGUAGGAUAAUACACUUUAACGUAUUCGAAUCCACAUCCUCUUCUACUGACAACAAUGUCAAUCAAUACAAUUUUAAAUACGAGUGUACUACUUAGAUAAUCAUAUCCAAGGUACACAUACUUUUAAAAUUUGAUCCACACACUUUAAAUAUACCCCACCUCUGAUCUAAUCUAGCAUUUAUCACCUAAGCUGACGGUUAGAGGAACAAAAGAACUUGAUUGAUAUAAUAUCAAUAUUUUAUAGACUCAAUCGUACCAUAAUUAUGGACGUUUUCGCUGAGUUAACUCUAUAUCUAAAUAAGUCAUGGUAAACAUUCAAUAUUAAAAAAGAUAAAGGGAAAGUAUAAUAACCCAAAACACCAAAUUUUGGUUGGUUUAAUUUGCAGCUUUAACCAAUGCUUUUGCAUGAUCCAUCAAUUAGUGAGGAUUUUGAUCUUAAUUGGAGGGUCCCAUUCGGUUAUUAAGCUCUUUUUCCACCCUCAUGAUUGCCAUAACAUGGGCCCUUACCGUUUUACUUUGGAUACCCUUUUAUCUUUGCUUUGCUUUGCUUUGAUUUAAGGUUUUAUACAUAAAUGGUCACUUAAACUAUACCUCAAUUUUUAGAUUUGUCCUUAAAGUUUUUUUUUUAUCAAGAGUGGCCCCCACACUAUCAAAUUUAUCUCAUUUUACCCAAAAAGCGUACAAUAUCCAAUAAAAAUAUUUAAAAUGUGACGCGUGUCACAUUCUUAUUGGUUAAUAUCAUUUUUUGAAUAAACAAAAAUAAAAUUAACAGUUUAGCGAUCACUUUGACCAAAUAAAAAAGUUUUAAGGACUACUUUAGGAAUUUAGAUAUAACUUAAGAGUUAUUUUAUUAAUAAAGCUUUGAUUUAUUCAUCAAUUAACACUGAAAGAGUUUUCCUUAAUUUACUCAAAUGGUCUUUUUGUUUGUAUCACCUAACAUUUUGAAGAACAUCCUUUCUCUGUGUACCUCAUACAAUUCGUUAAUACGAAAAUUUUAUGAUUUUUUUAAAAAUAAAUUUAAUUGUCACGUUGCAGGUUACAAAUACUUUUAAAUAAGGGCUUUUUUCAUACAAGAAUACCAAUUAAAAAAUAUCUUCAAAGGUAUAUCAGUUAUACUCAGAUCAAAAUGUUUAAACUUAAUUUAUCUAAUUUCUUCGGCAGGGACCUAACCCAAAAUUGGUAAAAUUAAAAUUAGAUCUUUAUAAUUUUGAAGCAUUAAAAUUGAAUUUUUUUUAAAUUGUAAAAUUAUAAAUUUAGCCCCUAAAAAAAUUAUAAUUCAACUUCAGCCUCUAAAAUUUUUUCCUCUAACUUCAUCUCCCCAUAAUUCAAUAUAUUUAAAAAAAUUUGUGACUGACAUUACCAACAAAAAAUAUAUUUAUAAUUAGUAUUUAAUAUACAAUUAAUGAAAUGUUUUAAUUCUAUAAGCAAUGUUCAAAAUUUUCAUAUAUCUCAAUUUUUAAUAUUUUUUUUAUUAAAUCAUGAAUGAAAUAUAUAUUACCUUUCAGAUUUUACUUGUAGAGUCUAAUAACUAUAUGACGCAUUAAAUCAUUAUACAUAUAUAAGGUCAAGUGGUCCAUAGGUAGCUUAGAGUACAAGGGAUUAAGUUGAGGGUCUCUUAUCAUUUUCCCCAAAUGUGAAGUGAUGUUAACUGCUUAGCUUUCUCCUCUUGCCCCAUUCAUUUUCCUUCCUUUCCACAAUAUAUAUUGUAUAAGUAUUUAUGGGUAAUCGAUUGAGUAUUUACUCGAUUAAUAUGAGUAUUAAUGUCAAUAGAGGAGGACGUAGAUUUGGCGCAUUAUUCUUCUAAUCAUGGGUUGAGAGGCUAUGAGUAGUUUUAAAUAUUAUGUCCAAAAAAAACAGAUAUGAUUAGAACCUAUAAUAAGAUUAUUUAAAAAAAUAUUUAUGGGUAAUCAGUUUAUACAAUUUCGAUUAAAUGUAUAAAUCCAAUCAUUAAUCAUUAAAUUGUUUUACUUUAUGCCAUAGUAUUGUUUUAACUGCAUAAGCAUGUGGGUUAAUGAAAACUACUUAUAGUAUCUCAAUUAAAUGUAAUCAACAACCUCAACUCAUAUCUCCCAUCUCUCUCACUCUCAAUUAUAUAACCUAUUAAUAAUUAACAUUAAUAACCCACUUUCAAGUAGAUCUCAGGCUACCUGCCAUGCCAAGCCUAAAGCUUAUAAGAUGCUUGAAAAGGUUUGCACAAAUAUACAAGAAUAAGUAGGAUAAUGGUUUGGGCAAAAAUUAAGCUUAAUUAUUUAAAUUAUAGAUUAAAUUUAUCGAUAAAUCAUGUUAAGCGUAAUGAUAAGAUAUAUUAUACUCUUAAGAAAAGAAUGUAGAUUCAAAUACUAGAAACGAUAUUGUUAGGAAAAGUAAUCACAAAUCUCAAACAUGAAUCAUAAAAUAAACAUAUAAAAUACUAAAAAAAAUCGAAUUUAAACUCAUUUAAAAUUGUUGAAACAUGGAUAAUUUAACUCAAUAUUGCAACAGGAAUUUCGAUAUAGUUUCUAUAAAAUUUAGUGUUACAAUAUGAUUUCCCAUAGAAGUGUGAUAAAAUCAAUAAUGUUGACUUGUAUUAUUGCAUUAAGUAGUGCAUGAAAUGUAGGAUUCUAUUGUAAAAGAGAAUUAGAUAAAAUUGUAUAAAGUGCAUACUAAAAACUGUUUUGGAGGCUUUAAAGAAUUCUAUUCGCUUAAAAGGUAAGAGUCUACUUCAUCAGCUAAGGUUUACAAUGUAGGGUAAGUGUUCAAUCGAAUUAAGUGAAAAAAUUUUGAGUUUAUCGAGUUGAUGAGUCCUAUUUUAUCAUACUAACUUGAUUUGAAAUUUUCUCGAAUCGAGUCGAGUAAAAUGAAAUUCAAGCCAAAUCAAAUCAAGUGAAAUUAUUUGAGUUAAAUUAAAAAAUUAAACAUGUCAAAUUAAAAUCUUGUUAUAGUAUAACUAAUUUUAUGUUAGAGCACAUAAAUUUGAAAUCACAUAUAUUUGAAAACUUUUUCAAAGUAAAAUAAGAAAAAAAAUAAUUUAAUAUAAUAAACUUAAAUUAUUAAUUAACUUUUAUUUAAGUCCCCAAAAUUAUUAUUUUAAAAAAAAUUAAAUUUUUAACUUUCUUUAUAUACUUUAUAAUUUUUUUAAAAAAAUAUAAAAUUUGGAAUUUUUAUAAAUAUUUUGAAUUUUAAAAAUUAUUAUGAAAAUUUUGAAAUUUAUUUUGUAUUUUUUGUUGAAAGAGAUCAAUUUGCUUUUUUUUUUAAAAUUAAUAGGGACCAAAAGGGGUAUUUAUACCAAUCUAUUAUUCGAGUUAUUCGAAUUGUAAAAUUCAACUUGACUUGAACUCAGAACUCGAAUUACUUAUUCGAUUUAAUUCGAAAAAAUUGAAUAAGAUUCAAUUAACUUAGAAUUCGAUUUUUAUUUUAUUUUUUUGAUCAAAUCGAGUUUUGUUCACCCCUAAUAACUUGUUAGCAACUUAUGCAAGAAUUUUUUAAUUUUAAAAUAAAAGCUAAUAAGAUUAUUUUAUCUUGAUAUUAAAUGCUAUUUAUACAACAUAUAAAAGAUGGUGGAUACACACAGUUGGGGUAGACUUUUUGAGUGUUUCAUUUUUCGGGUUGAGGGAAUAUUUUGCAAGGUAAAUACACCUUGAUACCCUAGGUAUUAUUUGGAGAAUUUUAUUCACUUGUAUGCAAAGAUGUUUGCAAUAUGUGAUAAUAUUUUGGGAGAUUGGAUGCAAACAAUUGCAUACUAGUGAAACUACUUUUUAUCUACAUUUUGCAAGAUAGAUACAUUAUAAUUAGAGGUGUCCAUAAGUCGGAUUGGAUCCAAUCAAAAUUUUAUACCCAUUUGUCAGGCUAAAAAUAUUAAAAUUCGAGUCCCAUCUGGCCCGUUCGUAUUAAUUUUUUUAUAUAAUUUUUUAAAAUAUAUAUAAUACAUCAACAAUACUAAAAACAUUAAAAUAAAUGUUAAAAACAUUAAAAUAAAUGUUCCCCAACAAAUUGAAAAUAAAUUUACAAAUUGAUUAAUAAAUUUUAAAAAAAUAUGUAUACUUAAAUAACACUAAGAUAUGUAUAACUUAACAAGCAAAUACCUCUAGAAUAGUAACAAAAUUAAAAAUAAAACAACAGUAAUACAAUAUCCAAAUAAUAACAAUAAAAUAGUAGCAAUAUAAUUGUGAAAUGGUAGCAAAAUAAUGAAAAAGAAGAAGAAAAAAAAGAAAAAAAUUACAAUUCUUUUAUUUUGCAUAUUCGGGUCGGCUAUUUUCUAAACGGACCUUAUUUUUCAGCCAAAAAAGUCUUACCUGAGGCUCAACCCGUUUUCUAAACAAGCCUUAUUUUUUUGCCUAAACACAUUUUUCGGGCCUAUAUUUUUAUCCAAACCCUCCCACUUUUCAGGUCGGGCCACAUGUACAGGUUUAACCAUGAUAUAUUAGGUAUUAUUAUAAACUACUAAAUACUAAAUAAAAAAUAACAUUUAAAAUUAAAAAAAUGAAAAGAAAAAAAAACUUAAAUGAAUAUAUACAAUGUAACAAGGUACAUAAACCUACAUUGUGACAAGUGUCGCAACUUUAUUUUUUUAUUUAAUUUCUAUAUUGUUUAUCUAUUAAAUAAAAUUAAAAUAAUUUAAACACAAUUUUAUCUUAAUGUAUUACAAAAUUUAAUUAAAAUAAAUGAAAAUUGUUAUUUGGAAUAUAUGGAUUUUAAAAAUAAUAAUAAUUUUCAUUUAAAUAAAUUUUACAAAUAAUAUAUAAUGCUGAUUAUAUAGUUUUAAAUAAUAUUUUAAUAUAUGAAUUGUUAUCUACAUAUUUAUUUAAAUAUAUUACAAGAAUUAAAACUAUUUAAUAACAUAUUCAUCAUAAAAUAAAACGAGAAUUAUAAAUUAUUAUUAUUAUUAUUUUAAAAUAUUUAUUUAAAUAAAACUAUAUGAGCAUAGGUUGUAACAUUCUACAUAUUUAUAUAGGUAAACCAUCAUGAUAAAAACUAUUAUCAUAAAAUUUUGCACUUUUUAUUAUAUGAUAUGUAUAAAAUAGUUCAAUUAGAUAUGAUUAAUAAUAAUAUUUAUGCUCAUAAAAUUAUCAAAUUAUAUAUUACAAUGUAUUUAUAAUGGCUCAAAUAUUAAAUAAUGGUUUACGGGUUGUAAUAUAUAAUAGUUCAAACAUAUUAUAAAUUUGAAAUAUAAUAUAUAUUAUAUUGAAUUAUUAUUAAUAGUAGAUAAUACUGUUAUAAUAAUUUAUAGUAGUAAAAGUAAAGGGUGAGCUAACAAUUCAGUGUGUAACUCAAUCCAAACAAUCAGCACAAAUACAGAUACAGUAACAAAGAUGAAUAUAGAUACAGAUAUAAAUCCUACUUCAUCCACUACACACCAUAUUUGUUCAUCCCUAGACAUCAAUUAGAGUAUUAAAUACUCAUGCAACCUUACCCACCUAGAAGUGAGCGUAUGUCACUUUUCAGAACAGUGCAAUCAAGCUACCAGAAAUAAUGUAAUAAUCCGCCAGAAUUAGAUAAGUGUGGUCAAGCCAUCAGAACAAAUAUGUGGUUUAAACCACCAGAUAAGACAGAUCAUUAAAUUGUUAACACUUCCUCCAUCAUAUUAUUAUCCCACCUUAAUGCAUAUGCAAACAUUAAUCAGGUAACAAAUGCAUAUAUAUCAUACACGCUAUACGUAUCAGAAUAUACUAUCAUGCUUUUAGAAAUUGCACAAACAGAAUAUUAGAUUUCAUAUCUAUAAGUCAUACAUAACACAUUAUGAAACCUACAAAGUGGCUAAUCUCGAAUCGUACUUUAAAUACGGCCUAACUAAAUUUUAUAGAAAAUGAGCACACAUGCCCAUGUGACCCACACGGUCUGGCACACGGCCUCACACAUACUCAUGUGGCCCACAUGACCCACUUAACUUAGCCCAUGUGGCUCACAUGGUCGUGUGAUUUACACGGUCUGGCACACGGCCAUGUGGUGUCGACAAUGAAUUUUUUGGCUUCGCAUCGUUCAUUGUUUUUCGAGAUUAUCAUUACAGACUUGGUCGUUUUUCGAUACUAACACCACGAAAAAGAUUCCAGAACUUAAAACAACAUUUAACACGAACAAUUUAGCAACGAUACACUAAAUAUAAUCCAUUAAUUCAACCACAACCACUAACAUUAGGCCUUAACAAGCUGGAAAUCAGUCUUUUGGGCAUUCGAUUACUUACCCAGAACAGUAGUGACAGUCCUAAAAAUCUCCUAAUUCACUAGAAGGAUGUCACAUGCCUCACAAACUUCUCCUAUUGAAACAUCAAAACAAUCAAAAAAAUGAAUAUUGCAUAAUACUACAACCCCUAUUCGUCAUACGGAAACGAAUUAACCUUACCGAAGAAUGCACUUACAAGACUUACACUUAAACAAAAAUAUGAAUUCUUUGCUCGAACACGGCGCUACGGUGAUUACAUGCAAGAAAAUCAAUACCACAAGGAUUUAAACAUUGGACCUCUAGGUAAGCUGAAGUUUUACCACUAAAUCAACAAGCUCAUUCUUAUCAUUAAUUUAGCAAAAAUAAUAUAUAAGCUUAAUAUCCAAAGUCGGUGGUUGGGACAAAAAUAACAAAAAUUUAAAUGAAAGAAUUUGAACCUAGAACAUCACACACACUAACACAACACAUAACCAAUAAACUAAAUUAAUCACUUUAACAAUAUUUAACAAUUCAAAAAUAAGAAUUUUGAGACGUUGCUAAAUUGUAUCAUAUAUCAUAUAUCAAACUUACGAUACAUCAUUCAUAAAAAUUAUAACAAACUUACGAAAGGAUUUAAUGAUAUUUAAUUCUUAACGGGUAAAAACUUAUAUCAUAUAUCAUAUAUAUUUAUAUAUUAAGAAUUUGAAUCAUUAAUUAUAUAUCUAUAUAUUAUAAUAGUUUCAUCUUUCAAAUUUUCUUCCUCAUAAUUAAAGCAUAAGUUAUAUUUAUAAUAUCAUAAAUAUAUUAUAUUUCAAAAAUUUACACACAUAAUCAACCUAUACAUCGCUCGUGAUAAGAAAACUAAUUUAUAAAUAUGAAUGUACAAAAUUCGAGCUAAAUCUAGCUUCAAUUUUCCGGUGAACUUCUUUUGACUUUAAAUCUUACUUUUUCUUCUUCUUUUUGGCAAAAUAACUUAUUUGGCACAAAAACAAAAGUCGUUUUAACUUUUUUUUUCACCAUUUUUUAGCAUUUAAACUUGCAUUUUUUUGUUAAAUCACUCCAAAAUGAAUGGAAAAGUUAACAUUUUUAACUUUGCUGAUGUUUCGUACAUGUGGAUAACACAUCAACAUUUAAUAAAUCUUAAAAAAAUUAUAAAAACUAUUUUUAAAAUUUAAAAUAUUAAUAUUAUAAAAAAAUAUAAAUAUUUUUAAAAAUUAAUUAAAUGCUGAUGGGUCAUCUACGUAGCAAUCCAUAUGUAUGUCAUGUCAACAAAGUUAACAAAUAUUAAUAUUUUCAUCCAUUUUAGGAUGAUUUAACAAAAUAUAUAAAUUUAAAGACUAAAGAUGCGAAAAUAAUUAUAAGACCAAAAUGACUUUUUUUUUUAAUUGAAGGACGAAAUAAAUGAUUAUGUAAAGUUGUGAAUAUUAAUAUUACCAUAACAAUCAUAAUUCGCUUAUGGUUUAUUCAUUUUUAGGGUUUUCCUUACUAGGAGUCUAGGAUACUUGAAGGCAGAUAUUAUUAUUAUUAUUAUUAUUAUUAUUAUUAUUAAAUUUAAACAUAUUUUUUUAAUUAAGGAACAAUAAUUUGGUCCGGGUCGGUCCUUGGACAGUAUUGUAAUUUCCCAAGUUAUUAACAUUUGUUUAGGGUUUCUCAUAGUUAAGAAUUAAGUGGGCUAAUUUCCCAACUUAGAUUUGAUGAUACGAUUAAAAAAUAGGAAAUAUCAAAAUAUGAUCAUAUGAAUUAUUAAUACUAGUUUUUUUUUAUCUGAGUAAAUAGAUAAUUACUUGAAUCAAUUUAAUAAAAAUUAAUAUACUAAAAAAUACAAUUCCAUCAUUUUAAUAGUUUAUAUAUUUAUAAUUUUUAAAGAAUUAAAUUAAUAUUUUAUCAUUUUAGGGAGUUAAAAUUUAAUUUUACUAUUAUUAAUUUAAAAUUUUAUAAAUUAUAUGUACAUACCCAAUUUUGCCAAACCCAAAUACAUUUCAAACCCUUACUAACCCAAGUCUGUUUACAAUAUUUUCAGCCCAAUUAGCCUAACCCAAGUACUACUAGCCCAAUACCCUAAAUUAACCUAGCCCAGCAGCCCAAAACAAAUUAGCAGAGAGGAAACCCUAAUUCCACUUGCCUCCUUACUUGCGCCGCACGCUCUUCUGCCCUUGGCUACCACGCCCCACUUUCUUCUGACACCAGCACUGGCCACCUGCUCCACCAUGCCUCUGCCACCGCCGUUCGCCCAUACCCUGCAAAAUGAAACAAAUGCCAAGACAGAAGCAGACAGCACAAGCAGUAACAGAGAAUAAAACAAACAAUACUUUAAUAUGGGAAUCGGCUAUAAAGCCGAAAUGGAAAAUCUGUAAAAGGGGGGAUUUUUGCUAUGAAAACAAAGAUUUUCUUUCAAUUUUAACAGAUUGAAUACAAGAACCAUUCGAAAAUACAUAUACAAUCAGGGGCUCUAACACCAAAUCGGAGAAUCAAAUCUAAAACCUAAGGUGACUUUUCUUUCAUUUUUUCUUUACUAUUUUGAGUUUGUUUUUUACACAAAAAUACUAAAAAAAAUAACAAAACACAUAAAAACAUAUAUAUUAUUAAGCAAAAAAAAAGAAAAGAAAAUUUACCUUUUCCGGCCACCGUGCACGGUGGCCGACGCCGACGAGUCUCCGGUAACCGUCCGGCGACCGGACCCCUGGCCGGAGUCCCACCGAAAAUCGCCCUCUCCCUCUCCCUCUCCCUUUCUUUUCUUUUUUUUCCUUUCCCCAUCCCCAAAUGAAUUUUUUUUUAAUUUUUAACUUAUAUAGGGGACCAAAACGUCCCCCCCUUUAAUAAAUAAAACGACGUCGUUUUGGACGCGGGUCGGGUCGACCCAACCCGCACCAGGGCAGGAUCCGCGUGUUUCUUAGCGGAAGGGAAAUUUGCGUGCUCGGCCUUUCCGCUUUUCUGAGAUUUCACAAUUACGUUUUUUAUGUUUUGUAAUUCGGCCCUAGAAUUUUUCAUCGUUUUCAAUCUGGUCUCCGUGCUGCGCAACGUUUAGAUAGUUGGGAUUAUUUUCAAUUUUGGUCCCUCCAGGUUGCGCGUGCCUCACAUUUUGAUCCCUCCUCUUUGUUUCCUUUUUAAAUUGACCCCACAACAUUGUUUUUAAUUUAAUUUUAGUCCUUUUUCGUUAUUUUUAUUUCCUUAUUAAAUACUCUUAUUAUUUUUAUAUUAUUAAUUUUAUUAUGUAUUAGUUUAUGUUUUAUUAUACAAUUAUAUAUUUAUAAUAUGUAUACACGCUUAAUAUAUUUGUAUAUACUUAUAUAAUAUUAGUACUAAAAGUUUUUAUUUUAAUAUGUAUAUAUUACCUAAAUGUUUAAAAUUAUAUAUGUACGUAUAUUCUUCAUUAUGUUCUUAAUACUAUACUUUACAUAUAUCGUACAUUUUUGUUUCAAGUUUGCUUUCAUGUAUUGUUUAGUCAAAAUUGUUUUAUUACUCAUUUUAAAAUUGUUUCACAUACUUUGCUUUAAACAUUAUAUCUCUUUCAUAUUAUGCACGUCAUUUUUAACUCUAUAUUGUAUAUCACAAUCUCAUAUAUUAUGUAUGUACUUCUCAUAUUAUUAGUUAUGUAUAUAUUCUUUACAUUAUCUUAUGUACAUAUAUUUUUCAUAUUAUAUUAUAUACCUAUCCUUUUGAUACCAUGUUGUAUAUAUUUUCAAUACUAUAUUACAAAAAUUUUUACCAUAUUAUGUAUGUUAUGUAUAUACGUUUUAAUGUUUUUGUAUUAUCUUAUAUGUAUAUUUUAAUAACUAUAUGAGGUAUGUAUUUUUAACACCGUAUUAUGUACAUAACUUUCAACAUCAUUGUAUACACACUUUUUAAUACUAUGUUAUUUAUACGUUUUUAUAGGUAUCGUGUACAUGCUCUAAAUACCAUCAUGUAUAUAGUUUUUUAUUGUUACUAUUAUGUAUACAUAUAUAUAGUAUCAUUAAUAGUUCUAAUAUCAUGCUCCCAUCACUUUGCUAACUAUUAUUAUAUGUUUGUAUAUAUUAAUUCUUAUUUCGCGUUUAAUACUAUUGUUAACAUAUUUAAUAUCGCAUAUAUGGCCAUUGUUUUAAUAUUCUCGUCGUAUUUAUCAUUUAUUUCAACAUAUUUCUAGCCCUUCCAUUUGUUCACUUUUAUUUCAUAUCAAUUUUGCUUGGCAUUUCUUCGAAAAUCUUAUUCUCGUUUUCUAAUUAAUUUCAAUAAUCGAGGCAACAUAUCGACUUAACAUUAAGUCAUCGAGUUCAUCGCUAUGUUGGGUGAACGUCAAUUGACACGUGUUAAAGCGAUAUACCCUUCUCAAAAAACGGAAUAAACUAAAAUUUCUCGUUUUUUAAUCGGAUCACGACUAAAUUUUACAUUGAACCCGAAUUUUUAAAAAUCAAGACAACCUGUGUUUAUGAGAUACCAAUUUUUGGGCGUCGCGAGGGUGCUAAUACCUUCCUCGCGUGUAACCGACUCCCGAACCUUAAUUUUUCUCUGGCUUUUAACGUAGACCUAAACUCAGUCUUUUUCUCGUUUUUAAAGAAAAAAGAAAUUUAUUAGGUGUUCGAUCACACCUAGGAAAAAGGAUCGGUGGCGACUCCCCCUUUUAUUUCAAAAUCGAACUUCAGUUUCCAAACUUUUUCACUAGAUCGCCACAAUUAGCGACCCCGAAACCAAUUUUUACGUCGCUACAUUAUAAAUGAGACUAAAUAGAAAAUUUUCUAUUUUAAGAAGGCUCAAAGACCUUGCCAGCCUCCUUGACUUCACCAUUGAAAUCUAGAAUAUACUCCUCACUAUGCUUUGGAAAAUUAAAGAUUUGAAAUUAUAUUAUUGUGUAAUAGAUAUAAUUAAUUUUUAAAUAUAUAAAUAAAGUUAAAGUUAAAAUUAAAUCACUGUGAUAAAUUGUAUAGAAUAUAGAUGAUUUAAGACAUGAUGCAAAUAAAACAUAGUUAAAUAAUUAAUAUAUAGCAUGCCAUAAUAAUAAAGGUGAAUCUAGAGGGUUCACAGGGCUUGAUUCUCCUAAAAUAGAAAAUUAUUAUUUAGAUUUUUUUAAAAAAUUUAAAAUUUUAAAUUAAUAAAAAUAAAAUUGUACUUUGAUUUCCCUAAAAUUAUAAAUUUUUUAUUCAAUCCUUUUAAAAAUUAUAAAGAUAUAAACUAUUAAAAAUUAAAUUUUCAUUUGGCCCCCUAAAAAAAUAUUCUGGCUUCGCCCCUGCAUGAUAAUAAUAUUAAUACAACACAAAUACACAAAAAAAUCAAAAUCUAUACAUAACAAUUAUUUACUUGUAUAAUUUUAUAAUAUUUUGAAUACAAAGAAAUAACACAAACAAUUUUCUCUAAAUUGAAUCACUCAAAUAAAAUAUUUUAAAUAUCUCAUGAUUUUAAAAUAUACUAUAAGGAUAAUUUUUUAAAAAUAAUUUAUUAUGAUAAAUCAUAUAAAUUAAAUAAAGAAACAAUACUAAUCCAACAUAAAAGAAAUGUAAUAAUAAUAUCAUAAAAAAUAUGUUCUUAGUUAAUGAUUUAGUCUGUACUUUGAGAAUUAGAGAAAACUCGAGUUCGAGAUUCAAUUAUAUAUGAGAAAAGUAUUAACAACCUCACAAUAACUUAAUACAUGUUGUUUUAAAAUUUUGAACCCAGUAUUUAAAUAUGAUCCCGUAAAAUUUAAGAAUGCAUGAAAUUUAUUAAUUAAGUGAAUUUGAUUUUGGAAAUAAACAAAAUACUCAAUUUAAUUUUAUUAUAUUUUUUAAAAUUUACUCACAUUAUAACAUUAAGAACAACAAAUGAGAGCGUAUCCAGUAAUUUUGGCAACAAUCUCUUUAAUUUUCGUAAUGCUAAAAUAUUACCUUUUUUUUUAAAAUUAAAUCGAUGUAAAGAAAUUCAUAGGUGCAUUUUCAUAUAAAUAAUUGAAUUAUUCAAAAUUACAUGCAUUUAGAGAUAAAUAUUUUACCCAGCACUACGCUUGUUCGACUCGUAAAAGGCAAAAAUUAGGAUUCAAAAUUAAAUUAUAAUUUUUAUGAUAAUAAAAAUUACUUAGGACAUCAUGUUCUCAAAAACUCAAACCUUUAUCAACAUAGAAUUGAAUCGAAUAUCGUUUUCAUCUUCCCAAGUUUCUAUACAUAAACUAUGAACACGGAAUUAAACAAUACAAAAAUGGUAUUCUUCUUCCAUUGACAUUUGAUAUCAGCUUCAGAAAAGGCAAAAGACAAGAAUAAAGAGAUAAAACAAAAGAUUAAAUCAAUCCUAUAUCCUUGACUGACAUAAUUUACCUUAAAAACUCUAUACUUUAACCAAUCCCACCUAUAUGAUUUUUCUGUUUUCCUAUACAUAACUUAAAGCUUACUUGGAACCAAGUCAUUGUAUUGUAUUUCAUGUAAUUUUUUGAAGCAGAUCCUCAUCUCCUCCAUCUGCAUUGAAGGAAUAGAUGUCGACCGGGGCCACCGUGCAACCCAUGGCAUUCUGCUUGGUUCUUUUAUUACAAAAGGAGCCUCGGUGUUUGUCUAGAUAGAUUACAAUCACGGUGAUAUCGUCGUGAAAAUGGCGCCUUAUCCCCUUUUUUAUUUUCUUGAUGUCACUGUAUCUCAUCUCCCUUUUCUUUGCAACUUCUUGAAGUACAGCUCUUACCAAUCUCCUGGCAAUACCCUGCAAGCAUUCAAGCAAACAAAUAUCAAUAAUGAAAUGCAUUGCAUUUCCAUAGGUUUCAUUAGGUUAAUGGAAGAACACGAAUACUCACGGCUCUCGGGUUUUUGAAAACGAUGUUUACAGCAGCUUCAUCACUCAACUGCUCCCAUAGGCCGUCUGAUGCAAAGAUGAGGAAUUGAUCCUGUGGCUUAAGCUUUCUAAUAAGGAUCGUUCUGCUGUAAUAACCGGCCUUUUAAGAGGAACAGGGUUUCCGAACUGCUGGAAGAUCGGAUCUCUAUAAAACUCAGGUUUCUUCAGGUAAACAUCACCUAUAGAUCUUGACACCUGAAAUAAGAAAAACAAAAAUGGCUUAGACCAGCAUGAUCACUCACAUGCUCAAAGAUCAUGUAUUAAUCAAUCAUCUCCAGUUCUACAAUCCAAUGUAAGAUAAAAGCUAAUGCAUCUUAUUCUCUCGAUUCGUGAAUGGAUCGAAGUAAAAAGCUCAACUUGCCUACCAAAGUAAAGGGGAACAACAUCACAAAAAGAGAAGAAAAACAUAAAAACGAGAGAGCAUCGAUUCCUUGCAGUUACAUAAGCCUAGCUUUAUGCUUCAGGGGCCUGCAUUUGUCCAUCUCAUGCAUAUAAGGCAUACUAUAUGGAAAAUAGCAGCAUGAAACAGUACUGGAAAUCAGACCAAAAUAUUCUUGGAAAAGUCGAAAAACUCAGAAUUAUAACCAUUUUUUAGAAUGAACUUCCAUUCUAAUGCACAAUGUAUACAUCCAUAAUUAUACCUCUCCAUCAAGCAAAAAGAAACAAAAUGGUUGCAAGCAAUGCCUACGAAGAGGAAGUUAAUUGGCAACUAAUUCUAGAAUCAACAUAUUGAUCAUUUCUCAAGCAGACUAGUUUUGAACUAAACGAUUAUAAAUCAACUUGUCAAUAAAAUUGUACCUGGAUUAUGCCCUUAAUCUUCCAAACUCCGCGGGUGUAAACGACUAUAUGUGAGUCAUCUGGAUGAAGUUCCUCGACCUCCUUUCGAACUUCCUCGACUCCAACAUUAUGAUCAGUUGACAACCUCUCUGCCACUACUGUGUUUUCCUUAUCCCCCGAAGCUUUCCUGCCAAGAACAGCUCUCGAGUCACCGAGAUUCGCCACGUAUAACACAUCAUUCGAAAUUGCACCAACUAGACAGCAUGAUCCAACCGAAGCAAUUUGAGGCCUCACGGACAAUGAUCGCUUCACCAAACGCAAAAACUCCUCUUCAGUGGCAUUGAAUGCCUUCUUUAUCACAUCUGCAGAUAAUCCCCCUUGUUCUGUAGCAAAUUCUACAAUGAAUAAAGAAAAAAAAAUUUAAGGGUCUCCAUCAAUCUUUUUUAGAAUCCAAGUGCAUGCUUAUCACUGAAAAGUGUGCAAAACAAAGAAAAAUAAAUGACCUGAAAAAUGCCAAAACUUGAACUACACUUACUAAUUAUUCCGAAAAAUUCAAGUCCAGACAACCCCAAGUAGAUACAAAUUUAGACAAAUAGUUCAUAUUCUCUUUUCCCAUCAAAACAUAGUGCUACAUGACUGUGGAGCGGGGCAAGAUAGAUAUUGUCAAAUUCAUUACUGUUCCAUUGCUGGCAUGAUCUGCCUCGACCCCACUCUGCUUCGCCAUAAAUGUUAAAACUUGAAUAUCAUUACUUUUAAUAUGCAUAAUCUAUCAAUACCUCACCUAAUAUAUACAUUUUUACUCGUUUUAAAAGUUAAAUAUAUAAGAAUAGAGCAAAUAUCAAAAUUAAGUGCCCCAUUGGUCCCUCUUUUACUGUUAAAAAUUAGAAAAAGAAAGUCUAUUUGGAGUCAUCAGUUCGAAAUCUAUCAAACUAAAUACAUAUUUGAUGAUUCCAUAGACAACUUAUGAUUUUCCUGACAAGGUCAUAUCUAUAUACAUACAUGAUCACAUGUUCAUUCAUGUCAUACAUACAUAGGAAUGUUGAAAUAAAGAGGGAAAAAGGGAAUUACUGUGGAGAAAAGGGAAGAGAUGUUUGUUAACAAAACGGGAAGCUUCCGGACCGCCAUGACCAUCGUAGACGCCAACGUAGGUAGCAAAAGGAGAGGUGAAGACUUGGCUUUGAUCUUCGAGACAGUUGUUAGCCUGCACGACGGCGAUGGAGAAAUCACCGGAAGCGUGGGGUUUAAGGUCAGCGUGCCACAUGAGAGCAUCCCCACCAGCUCUAACGCCAAGACAACGUUCGAGCGGCCUGGAAAGGGACCGUAACAUCAUCAUCAUCGUGUUUAAAAAAUAAUAAUAAUCCCUUUAUAGGGGAUUUGAUUAAAUGAAAACCUUUUCGAUGGUUUCAAUGGGGGGUUUCACUUUGGGGGAGAGGAAAAUGGAAAGAUAUUAAGAGGGAAAGAGAGAGUAGAGAGUGGGGUAAAGUGAAUGGAAAAGAAAUGCCGCGUAAAGAGAGGCAGAUGAUGAUGACCAACGACCCCCGAUGCUUGCUGUAAUUACUUCCCACUCUACGCGUUAACCACCCUUUUUCUUCUUUUUUGACUUUUAAACCCAAAUCCUUUUCUUUUAUUUUUAAUUUAUUGAAUGGAGACACUUAGGUCUAAUUUAAUAUUUCAAUUUUUAAAGAAUCGUAUCAGUGAUUGAAUUAUGUAUCUACUUAUUCUCGAUUUAAUCGGUUAGUUUAGCUCAAUUUAGGCCUGUUCAGAUUAUUCAACUUAAAAAUUUGUUCGAAAAGUGAGAUGAUUUAGGUAAAAAUAUAUGUUUAAAAAAUAAAUUUUAAUAAAAAAAUAAGGUAUAUUUUUUAAAUAGAUUGAGUCUUAAUAUUUUUUUGUUCAGGCUCAACUUGAUCUGGCUCAAAUUUGUAAAAAAAAAAAAUGUUGUUACUUUGUCAUUGUUUUACUGUCAUUUCGCUAUUAUAUUAUUACUAUUUUAUUGUUUUUGUUUAGAUAUUGUAUAAUUAUUUUUUUAUUGUUGAUUUGGCUACUAUUUUAGAACCAUUUGCUUACUAAGUUGCACUUAUAUCUUGGUGUUAGUUAAGUAUAAAUAUCUUUUAAAAAUUUGUUUUCAAUUUAUUGGGAAACAUUUAUUGCUCCAACUGACCUAUGGAUAGCUCUAGUUCAAUCCUUUUGCCCGAAUUGAUAUAUCAAUUGAUUUAUUGGUUCAACUAAUUCGAUUAGUUGAUUUUAUUUGAUUUGAUUCAAAAACACUAAGUGUUAUUUCAAGUUUAACUUAAUUUAUAUUUGUGUUGAUAGUUUAAAUUAUUUUAAUUUUAAAUCAUUCAAAUUCAACACUUAAUUUUUUGGGUCAGAUCGUUUUAGGACUAUUUCAUAUUAUAAUUUUAUAAAAAGGAAGUUGAACUGAAUAAUAUUUAAGUUUUUGAGUUGAAAUUCAAAUCAAUGUUAUUAAAUUGGGUCAUAAUUAAUAGGUGUACUAGAAUCUAAUUACAAAUAUAUAUCUAUAAGAUAAAACCAAAAAUAAAGGAUUAACAUCUGACCAAGUAUUGACAAUGCAUUGUUAUCCACAAAUUUAAUUAGAUACAAAACAAGAUAAACACUGUAAUGUGAAUUUCGUAUGUUAACUUAACGGUUAGGAUAUUCAUCGCUUCAAAUGUGAUUUGGGAUUGAGUCACAUUAUCUCUAAUAUGUCCUCUACCAAAGAAAAUGGAGGACUAAAGUUUGAAAUCUUAUUUAGUAUUUACAGCCAUGAUCAAUUUCUCUUUAUGAUCUCCACCCAUACAAUAAAUGUGAAAAGUGUAGCAGUACGAAUACCAUGUUUUUAUAGGGGCCGCCAUUCAAGAAUAUAUUACUUCCUCUGAACCUGACACUAAGGCAUGGAUAGCAACUUACAAUGUAUCAAAUUAAACACUAAAAUUAAACUCAUAUAUCAAAUUGAGAUUUAAAAAAAAACACUCAAAUACAAAAUUUGACAUUAAAAUCAAACGCAAGUACCGAAAAAUAUAUUAAUCCAUAUUCAUAAACCUUUUUCUUUGUUUUUGCACCCGUCAAAAUUCCAAGACUUACAUAUCUCUAAUUAAGAGCAUCAUCAUUUACAAAAAUUAAAAAAUUAAUCCCUCUACUUUAAUUUGUUAUAAUUUGUCCCACGUAAGUUAUAACAACCGAAAAGUUAAUCUAAUUAAGUAAUAUUGUUAAACCUUAUCAUUGAAUUGUUUGUUUGGAAACCAGCAAUUUAACAACUUAUAUGCAACAAAUUAACAAAACUCAUUUGUUCAAGUUCAUGUUUUGAAUAACACCUGGACUAAAUUUCCAAUUUUCAUAUGCUACAAUGACUAAAUUUUGACAAAUUAAAGUAGAGGGACCAACUUCUCAAUUUUCAUAAAGUAGGGGAUGAAAAUCAUAAUUAGACCAUGUAUAUGUUCUAUCGUGUGAGUUGGGGCCUGUUUUAUAGUAUACUUCUACAGUAAGGACAGUCCCCACACGUUCUGAGCCAAGGAUCUAAGCAAGCAAAGUGAAACCUGUGCCCACACGGCAGCUGAGUAAGCACAUCUCCUUCUCCGAAGCUUUCAAGGCAUAUACUGCAAUCUCUUGAUUCCCUUGAUGUCUUCCUUUCAACAUUGAUGUCUUGGCUGCGGAAAAUUUCCAGCGGCAAACGGUCCAGAGCCUCCUGAGUAAGUCCAGGAGGCUUCUUGUUUGUUUCUCGUAACAAUUCGAAUCUUUCUGCUUCAGAGGUUAAUGGGGAACCCCUAGCUGCCAACCCUGUAGAGAGUUCACUUAUGAUCCUAAAAUCAUCGCGCGUUACAUGCUCCCGGUGGGAAGCAUUAGGUGGAGCUCUAUUGCUUCGCCUGAAGAAAACAACAGGAAGAAACCGUAAUGAGAGGGAAAAGAAAAGAUGUACAAAAUGUUUAAAUAGCGGUUAAUGCAGGACCUAACAUAUAUGUGUCCAUUAUUGAAUGCCACGUGCAAGUAAAAUUCAGGAUCGAGUGGUCCACAUGCUUCUCUCAAGCAGUAGAUGGUAGUUAGGAAACGAGUAACACUAAUUCGCUGUGUACAUGAAGUGGUACCAAAAGUGGUCUGGAUAGUCAUAGUGGCUAAUGAUGUUACUACUUAGAACCUAUGUUACUCAGAGUCAGGCAUGAGUUUCAGAUAUGGAUAUGUAUCCAGUACAGGUAUAAUUACUUUUUCUAAGUUUUUCCAUAUAUUUAAAAGAUCCUUGGAGGUCAUAUCCUCGUAUUUGUGUGUCAGACACGAGUGUCAAAUGAAGAGUCCGAGCAACAUAGCUUAGAACCACUAAUAUUACCAUAGAAUAGGAAGCACCAGCAGUGGGACUGGACCAUAUUGAUAGUUAGCAAUGCGAGAACAACAGGCACUAAUGGGCAGAAAGCACCAAUAACAGCAGUGGGCCUGGAAAUUAAGGUACUACUGGUAGGUAAGGAGUGACGAAAGCAAUAUCAGCUUGAAUGUAUAAGCAGAAGUGGGACAGAAAUUUCAAGCAUAAAAACAAAAAUUCAAUCUAUUCAAGAAUAUAUACAUAUAGAGCGAGAGAGAGACUAAAUUCAACUUAAACAUUUUCAAGGAAAAAAAGAAAAAGCCUGCCGAAAUAUGAUGAUUAUGUUAGGCAAUUCCAUAGAAGAAAGUUCAAAUUCACUAGUGACAACCCACCCAACUGACCAGCUGAAAAGUCCAUGGUAAGUUGGAAAAUAGUUUGGACCGAGUGAAAUUAGUCUCAACAUUAACUGGCUACAACCCCUAACAGCUCUACCAUAUGAUACGGUAUCUCUAUUCUUACUGCUAAACCAAGUCAGACUCCUAGUACCCCUAAUACAAGACUACAUAUUUAUCAUUUGGAUUCACUAAUAAUAAGGUAGCACAAUGAACUGCAAGGCACUGAUUCUUCCUACAGGUUACGAUGCAAAUUGCUCAUAUGAUAGACACUUCUUUUGAUCAUAUUGCACCCUCAAUAGAUCCACAAAAUCAAAGUUCAAGAGCAAAAUCAUUCUGAAUUUAGGUAAAACUUUCACAGACACAGAGCUCCACAUGACUUGUCUAUCCUAUCAUCAAACUUCAGAAAUAAGUAAUAGAGAAGAGAUGUGCUGUGCUGUGCUGUCUUUAAAAAAUGAAAUUUGUGACAGACCAAGAAUAGUGGGAUAAAUUUGGUCCAACUUGAGUAGCAAAACAAAUUGAGUGCCACAGGCAAGUUCACCAUCAAUGAUAAAAGUGGCUUCCAAUUGGUGUCAAAGAUCAUGCAGAUAAGAAAGAACAUGAUUCAAUAGCUAUUAUAAUUUACUUGUUCUUGCAGUUUGACCAGUAAUAAUGCUGUACAUAAUACAUGGACAAGAAAUGCAAAUACUAAAAGUUGCAAAUUUGCAGAGAGCUCUAGGUAACCUGUUUGCAGAAACAGACACGCCUCUUAGUCUUUCAACAAGCCUUGCUCUUGCAAGCAGCACAGCUCCAGGAAGCCUCUCAUUUGCUCUCAAACUUUGCCUGCUUGAACUGCUUACACCAUCUGCAUUUAAUCCAUAGCUCGAACUGAGCUCACCAGUACCUUCAUCAAACCCUUCUCUAGCAAGCCUCUCACUUGAUCUCAAACUUUGCCUUCUUGCAUUGCUUACACCGACUGCAUUUAACCCAUUGCUCGAUACAAGCUCGCUGGUACCUUCAUCAAACCGCACUGAUGAACGCUCCUGAAAAAGUAAUAUCCAAAUAUAAGCGAUUCAGGCAAGGAGAAAUAAAUUACAUAGACUAGGUAAUAAUAUCAAACUUCCUUGUUUAUUCUUGUAUAUGUGGCAAAAUCUUACUGCAAGUGAGCUUAGGCUUUGCUUGGUACCAAAGAUGGAAAGGAUGAACAUGGAAAAUUUGUUCAUCAAAUGUUAAGAUUCAUAUCCACCUUAUUACUUUGUAACUUAACCAUCAGAUAAACAAUUUUCCAAUUCACUCCUUUCCGUCGUUCAUAACAAGCAGAGCCUUAGGGUUUAGAAAAAUUGUCAAGAAAAUACCUAUUCUUCAGUAAUUUCACUGAUAAAUUUAGCUUAAAACUAAUAAUUUUCAGAGCAAAGUUCAGUAUUGAAGCAUAAAACAGACAACGAAUAAAGUACCAAUAAAUUGGUUGAAAAUCCAAUUCUUAAAUUAAAAAUAAAAAAAUAAAUAUAUUUUCCCUUCCAAAAAUAAUACUUAAUUCACCCCCAUUUUUCCUUUAAGUUCUCUUUUUUCUCAGCAAUAAAAUAAAAACAAAUACCUAACAAGAAAUAAAUAAUUUGAAAAAAAAAAGGUAAAAGAGAAAUUGAGCGCACAGAGAGCGAGGAAGCACGGGAGCUGAAGUGGCGCACGUGGGGAGACCGGCGGAGGGAAUCACCGCCGUCCAAAUCAUGCCUCUGAUUGUGAUGACUGAGAUGAUUCCGGCGAUGGUAAUUCCGUUCAAUUGAGGACCCAAUCCCUGAAUCCGGAUCGGGUCGACCCACUCUUGACCUUCGUGUGUAGAAUAACUCCGAAGCGCUUGUCAUCCAACUAAAACCCCCAAAUGGUGUUUUGAUCUGAUCUUACCAAUUAAAAUUUAUUUUUAAUUUCUCCAAAAAAAAUUUAAAUAAACAUGCAAAUUGUAAUUUGGAUUAAGAAAUAAAGGAAGAGAAGCUGAUGAACCCUACGAAGAAACGCGGGAGAAAUUCCUGCGAAUGAAAAUCGAUAGCCUUAGCUUCAAAGGAAAUGAAUGGAAAGGGAUGUGCGUUUUUUUAACCCUAAAUGGUUUAAUUCCGGUUUUAGUCCCCCUCCUAAGCUAAAAUGUAAUAUUUAAUCUUAUAUUUUAAUUUUAUAUACUUUCGUCUUUGAUAUUAAAGAAUAAUAUUUGAUACACCGCAAAUACAUUAUCAUCGAACAAUAACAUGAUACUUGAGUAUAAACAAAAUUAGUGAAAGAAUUAUCAAUAAAUAUUAACAAUUUUAUUUAGUUUUUUUUUUAUUUUUAAAUUUCACAUUUCGAAUUUUAGAUAUAUUUAAAUAAAAUUAUUAAUAUUUAUUUAUAAGUCAUUCAUUAUUUUUUAUUUCAUUAGCAUUGAGGUGUCGUGUUAUUAUUCAUUAAUGGUUGACGAUUUAUUUUUAUUAAUUUUUAUCAUUAUAACGAUGAUGUGAAAUCUUUUAUUGACAAUUUUGUUAUGGUCAAGGUAGCCAUAAUAUAUGUUUUUUAAUACAAAUUCUGGAUAAUAAUUAGUAAUAUUAAGAAAGUAAAAAAAUUAAAUCAUGUUAAAUUAAUCGAGGUUUAAGGGUGUAAAAGCUCUUCAAUUUUUUCAAAAAAGCAAUUAAGUCUUUACUUUUUUCACUCAAUUGAGUACUUUAACUUUUAAAAUGCAUAAAAAAGGACCUUCAAACUUUUUCAAAAAAAAUUAAGCCCCUACUUUUUUUUACACUCAAUUUGGCACUUGAACUUUCAAAAUAUAUAUAAAAAAAAACCUUCAAGCUUUUUCAAAAAAAGCAAUUAAGCCCAUACUUUUUUUUUACUCAGUUGAUUGGGUAAUUAAAUUGUCAAAAUGCAUAAAAAAUAACAUUUGAUUGUUAACUUUAACAGUUAACCGUUAAAAUUAACUGCCCCUAAUUUUUUUCAAUUAAAAUCAUCCCGUGUCACAACCACAACAUGACAUAUGACAAAACAAUUAUAAAAAAUAAAAAUCAAUACAAGUUAUAAAAAGUAUUAAACUUUAAUAAAAAUAUAAAAUUUAUUAAAAUUGUAAAAUUUUAUAAAAAUCAUAAAUAAUUAUAAAAUGUAUCAAAAAGGCCCUUUAACCAUCAAUUUUUACCGUUGACUGUUAAAGUUAACGACCCCCAAUUUUUUUCUAAUUAAAGUCAUCACGUAUCGUAAUACAGUGUGGCAUGUGGCAAAAAUGAUAAAAAAAAAUAAAGAACAAUUAAAGUUAUAGAAAAAUUAUAAAAUGCUUGUUUAAAAAUUAUAAAAUACUUCUUUUGGUACGAUAAUUUUUAUAUUUUUUUAUAAAUUUUAUAUUUCUUUACAUUUUUUUAUAAUUUUCUUACAAUUUUUAUAAUUGUUUAUGAUUUUUAUAAUUUUUUUUCUAAUUUUUAAUAUUUUUAUAUUUUUAUUAAAAUUUAAUGAUUUUUUAUAAAUUUUAUUUAUUUUUAAUUUUUAUCAUUGUUUUGCCACAUUUCACGCCAUGGUUGUGACACAAGAUAACUUUAACUGAAAAAAUUAGGGUCAGUUAACUUUAACGGUUUGAUUAUUAAAUUUAACAAUCAAAGGGUCUUUUUUUUAUGCCUUUUGGCAGUUCAAAUACCCAAUUUAGUGUAAAAAAAAUAAAGGUUUAAUUGAUUCUUUUUUUAAAAAAAAAGUUUGAGAGUCUUUUUUGUGCAUUUUGACAAUUCAAGUACCUAAUUGAGUAAAAAAAAAGAACAAGGGUUAAUUAAUUUUCUUGAAAAAAUCUUGAAGAUUUUUUACACCCUUAACCCAUUAAUCAACCAACUGUGUCAUUGAAAUUUGAUGAUUUGGGAAAAUAUCUUGUGAAUAUCAAUUAGAGAAAUUAAAUCUGAAUUUCAAUAUAUUAGAGGGACUAAACCCAGAAAUUUACCGUGAAAAAGAAAAGGUAUAUCUUUAUGUGUUAGUUGAAGGACUAGUAUUUAGAUGUAGCCACGCGUUAAACAAAGUGUUCCAUUACAUCAACAUAGAAUUUAUUUUCCUUCAAUAAGAUUUUUUGCGUUGACUGUUGACCAUGGAAAAACUAUAAAUCAAAUUAUUAAUUGAAAAUGAUAUAUAUUCCUUCAAUGAGAAUCUUUUUAUUACCUUAAGUCGAGAAUUUGAUUCUCACCUUGUAUAUGGAGUAGUUUUAGAACUCGUAACUUAAUAUCUACCUCUUAAUAGACCUACAGAAUAGAAAAGAUUAGUUACUAUCUAACUUCAAUAAAUACAUUGAAAAAUAAAAAAAAUCGAUAUUAAAUGAAAUAGACAUAAUAGAUUUCUAAAGUCAACUUUGGUCAAUAUAAAUAGAAAAACUAAAUGAAAUUUGGUUUAGGUAAAUUUUGGGUUCAGAUUAAAUUUAAAAUUUAGUUAAUUUUUAUUUAAGUUAAUUAAGUUUGAUUGUAAUUUUUGAAGGUUUGGUGAUUGGGAUUUAGAUUAUUUCGGGUUAUAAUUACUUUGAGUUUAAGACAUUUUAAGUUAUUUAUUCGGGUCAUGUCUAAUUAUUUAUUUGAAUUGUUUCAAGUUUGGAUUAAUUUGGGUCGAUUUCAUAUUUAGGUUAGACAAAUCAAUUUUCAAGAUAUGAACUAGAGUUGUCUAUAAGCCAAGUCACCUAGUCUGGCCCGAAGGCUCGUCGGCAAAUAGGAGGAUUUUAACAAAAAAAUAUAUGUCCAAAAAUGAGAUUGGACAAAAAAUAAGGCUCGUUUUAAAAAUGGGUCGAGCCUCGGGUAAGGUAUUUUUUUACCCUGGCCUGACCUAGAUUUUACAAUAAAAAAAUUGUUGUUUUGCUACCAUUUCACUAUUAUGUUGUUUCAAUUUGUUGAAAAAUAUUUAUUUUAAUAUUUUUUGUGUAUUAUAUUUUUAAUUUUUUUUUAUAUAAAAAAAUUAAUAGUGUCAGACCAUACCCGGGUUUUAGUAUUUUUAUCCAAGCCAGGCUUGGACAAAAAUUUAAGCUCAUUUUUUUGGGCCAAAUUGGGCCCAAAAAUUUAUCAGGACCAACCUAAUUCGACCAUGGACAAGUUUAUAAAAUAGCUAUUUAUAUAUAAAAAAAAAAUUGUCCAUGAGCUAUUUACUAUUUAGAGUAUUUAAAUAUGUCGAUUGAGAUUUAAUUCUUUUUAUUUUGAGAGGUGGAAUAAAAUAAUUCAAUUAAAGUGUAAUGAUGAUAUACCUAUAAUGCAUUAUAUGUCCCAUUCUUCUAUCUUUUUAGGGAGUCAAUGAUUAUUUAUAGCUAUUAUCUUUAUAUCAAAAAAACAAUUCGACUCAAUAAUUAACUACUUUUGCUAGAUUGAUUUUUGAUUAGAUUAAUAUGUUUUUAGUCAAUUUAAAUUUUAAAAAUUUUCAAAUUAUUUCAAUUUCGAUUAGUUUUAACUUUAGAUCAAUUCUUAUUCAAUUAUAUUUUAGACUCAGAAUUAAAUGGAUCGAAUUAUCAGAUUUAAUGAUUUGUAUGUAAAAUUUUAUUUAAAAUAUUUUAAAUACCACUCUAACACAAUUACAUAAUUCAUAGAUUAUAUAAUUUGAAAUUAUCAUUACACACCACCAUUGAUAAUUUCAGCUUGUAAGUCCUAAUAUUUUAUUCAAAUUUCAUAAAAACCCUUCCUUAUCUCCAUGACUAAUUUUGUUUGAUCAUCACAUAUUUGCAUGGGAAUAGUGGUCAUCAUGAACCGAAGACUCCGGUUUAUCAACACCGUCGACGCUUCGAACCCAGAAACUUGAACCGAAAGAAGCCGCCCGGUCCGGAACGUCAUCCAUCACCCAUUCAUGGCCUUUCGGGAAAUAUAUCCCACUCUUUGGAUGUGGAACCCAACUCGAUGAACUUUUUAUAUCGUCGUUACUCUUGCACUUCUUAUUGAUCUCCCGAUCUGCGCCUGCAAUUUUGCUCAAUGGUCGCUCAACGCGUUUUGCUUCCCUACACCCGAAUAAAGUUUCCAAAAGUCAAACAUAUUUAUUAAGUUCAUAAUGAUUUGCCUCUAAAUUUUGUACUUUUGUAUGGUUUUUUUUUGGUAAAAAUUUUAAUUUUUGGCUUUUCUAAAUACAAAACAAAUUUCAAAUUUCAUUUUUGACCAAACAAAAACAUCUCAAAAUCAUGGCUCAAACUUUAAAACGAUCCCUAAAUUUUAAAAUGUUCUAAUUGAAUCUUUAAAAAUAAAGUAUACCUAAAACACGUUUUAAAUAUGCUCUACAUCAAACAUAAACUAACAUUUAACACCCAGAUAGACAGCGAGAGUGACAAAAAAAACUUGGUUAAUACGAUACUAAUAUUUUUAGGACCCAAUUAAACCAUUUUAAAAUUUAAUGACUAAUUUAAAAUUCAUUCUAUAGAUUAAGAAAAUCUGUUGUAAUCAACCCAAAUAAUAACGACAACAUUACGUACCUUAGCAUCAAAAUCUUGGUUUUGGUAAAAGCAGCUCUUCCCAUGCAAUGCAGCUCUUUAAAACCCCUCAAAAAAGGACUCCAAUGCAAUUAUCUAGGACUUGAUCGUUUGUUUUAUAGAAUGCUUUCGAAAGUGCAGUUUUUGUACUUCAAAUUGUAUCCGAACGAAUGAAUAAAGGUUUGACGAAUAAGUUCGAUUGUGAAGGUCCUAAGAAAAUUAAAAUUUUAGAAUAUUAUAUUUCGGAAUUUCGUCUUUUUAUUUUAAGAAAUUUAAUCAUUUUAUAUUUUUCGGAUUUAAGUAUACAGGUCCAAUUAUUAUUAAAAGUGAUUCGACUAAAAAAUUAAAAAAUAUUUCGAAUUUCAAGUUAAUUGAAUUGAGUUAUUCGAUUUUUUCGAGUCAACUAGAAUAAGUAAUUCGAGUUCGAGUCGAGUUGAAUUUUACAAUUCGAAUAACAGAUUAAUGUGAAUACCCAUUUGAUCCCUGUCAAUUUUAAAAAUAGGUAAAUUUAUCUCUCAACAAAGUUUACAAAAAAAAAUCAAAAUAAUUUUCAAAAAAUUUUAAAUAUAAUUUUUAAAAUUCAGAAUAUUUAUAAAAUAUCAAAAUUGAUAUUUAAAAAAUUUAUAAAAAUUCUAAAUAUAAAAAAAAACUUAAUUUUUUUAAAAAUAAUAAUUUUUGGAAAAUUUAACUAUUUAAGUUUAUCAUACUAAAAUAUCUUCUUCUUUUUUUUCUUAUUAUGCUUUGAAAGAAUUUUCAAAUUUAUAUGUUCUAACAUUGAAUUAGUUAUAUUGUAACAAUAUUUUAAUUUGACAUUUUUUUUUAAUUUCACUUGAUUUGGAAAAUAUUCAAAUCGAGUUAGAAUGAUAAAAUGGGACUCGUCAACUCGAUUAACUCAAAAGUUUUUCACUUGAUUCGAUCGAAUGCUCACCCCAAACUAAUAUCAUAAAAAUUCUUUUGUUAAAUUUAGAUUCGUUACAAUAUUAAUUUUUUUAUUUUAUGACUAUCAAAUUUGUUUUUUUUUUCUUUUCAUUUCAAGGUGUCACAGUAAUGAAUUUAAUAGAAUAAUUUUAACAAUAUUAACAAUUAAUUUUUUUUUGACAUUUAAAAAAUAAAGAAACUAAAUUCUUAAAAAAAAAACCAAAUUUACGAAGAAUCAAAUUGGAAAAUAAAGAGAUAAAUAUAUAUUUUUUGGUGCUUAUGUUUAUCUUUGAUUUUAAUUUUGCUAUUUAUAUAUUUUUUUUUCAAAUUGGUACUUAUGUUGUUUUUAAAUUACACAAAAUGGUAUCAAAUUUAUUAUCUGACGUAUGGAAUGAUGAUGUCAUAAUAACAUUUGGGAAAUUAUAAAAAUUUAUAAAAAAUAUGUAUUAAAAAUUCAAAAUAUAAAAAAUUAUAAUGUUUGAUACCAAAUAAAAAUAACAUAAAAAUCAAUUUUUUUUAUAUAUUUUCAUAUUUUUAUAAAAAGAGUAUCAUUUUUUUAUGAAAAUAUAAAAUCAAUUAUUUUUAAUAAAAAUAACUUUUUUAUAAAUUUUAUUAAAAAUUUAUAUCAAAAUCAUGAAAAUAUUCAUCAAGUCACAAAAAAGAAUUACAAUUUCUUACCCGAAAUAUAUAUUUUAUAUUUCCAGAAUUUUUUAGAUUUUUUUUAUUUAAUUUUUGGAUAAUGACAUCAUCAUCAUCACAUAUUAAAUAAUUAUUGGACCACAAAAUAAAAGUUAGCAUCAUUUAACUUAGGUACCAUUCUGUGUAACAGUAGUCAAACGUGGGUACCAAUUUGAAAUAAAAAAAAGGACCAAAAUGAAUAUUAAGAUCAAAUACAUGUACUAAAGAAUAUAUUUAUUUUUUCAUUAAAAUAGUUUAAAUUAAAUUAUUAUUUUUUGAGAGAAGUCAAAAAUGAAAAUUUUCAUUUAAAAAGAAUUAAAAUAUUAAAUUUUAGGAGGGUCCAAGGAACCAAAGCCUCUAACUGCCGUUAGUUUGCCAUUGUCAUUAUCAAUUUACUCGCCCUGAGAGGAGUUUAGCGGCGAAGCUUGGGGAUAAUUUGUGGCCUUGACCCUCUUAAAUUUAAAUAAUUCAAUUUAAUCUCUUUCAGCCCAUUUAUUAAGGAGAGGUCAACUUCUUUAAGAAAAGUUUAUGAAGUAUGAUUCAUUAAAAGCUAGCGAACAUCCCAAUAAAUCGAUAUUAUUUCAAUUGAAUUUUUUAUCUCCCAAUUUUACGAAGAAUUAAUGGGUUCACAAAAUGAAUAUAUCUUAUUAGAUGUCUAAUAAGACAAAUCACAUACAUCGCAUCGCACUUGAUAUCAUAUACGACAUCGAAAAGCUAGUAUAUUACCACUUAAACUAAACACCUAUUUAUUAUGAAAUCUGUUGCUUCGAAUAAACGAGAAAUAACAAAUUUCUCCCGAAAAAAUCGGCCCCUAUCGUUUCCUCUUUUUCAAAAGUAAAUCUUAAUUCGCUCAGGUGAUUUGGAAUAUUGAGAUUUUUUUAGUGAAAAGAGUGGCAAGUUGGUGUGACACCUAAGGUCACUUUAACAUAUAGCUCUAAAUUCUAGAGACACUGUGAAUCGUUACUUCAGCAUAUGCCUCUUGUUUUUUUUCCUUCUUUCACCAGAAUAUAUUCAAUGCAAAGAACUUAUCUCUUACACAUUUGAUUGUUGGUUAAAUUCGAGUUUUAGUCCCUAUAUUAUACUUCCUUCCUGUUAUCGAUGUUAUACUUUAGUCUAAAUCCAUAAUAUCAACACAACUCCAAAUUCAUUAUAUCAUUUAAACAUUAAAAUUAUCUAUUUAACUUGUGAUUUAAAUAAAAAUUAAAUUAUGGUAUAACCACGAUGUGGAUAAAAAAUAAAAUUAUGUGUUAAUUAUAUUUGUAAAAGAAUGAAAUUUUAAUUAAAACGAUAAAGUUUAAAUUUACUUUAUAAUGCAAUGAUAUUUGAGUCAUUAUCCAAUUGAAUUAGUGCCUAAUAACUCGUAACACCAAUUUAAUUAAUUAUGCACAACAUUAAGUUUUAUUAUCUUUCUUUCUUUAAUAGAUUACAGUCAGUUACUUAAAAAAAUUACAGUUAAUUAUUAUUUUAUAAGGUAAACUAUCAAAAUAGUCAUUUUUGUUUCUCUCAUAUUACAUUUUGGUCACUUAUGUUUGAAAUGUUAAGUUUUAGUCACUUACAUUUAUCGUAUUAUAACAUUUUAGUCACCGAGCGUUUAUUGCCGUUAGCAAUAUAACAAUAAAGCUGAUGUGACACGUUAAAUCAUCAAUUCAAACGAAAAUUUUAAGUUAAAUUAUACAAUUGGUCCCUAUUUAUUUUGAGCAAUUUAUUUUUUUAUAUUCUUUGAAUUUUCUUUUUUCUUUUUUAUUUUCCGUUCUCUUCUGUUUCUCCCUCUAUUUUCUUCCAUUCCCUGUCUUUUUUAACGUAAAUUUUCUAUGUUUUUCAUUUCUUAAAAUUUAUCUAUUUUUUUUCUUUUAUGUACUUCUACGUUAAAAGAUAUGGAGAAGUGGUGAAAAUAGAGGGAGAAGUAG